rnacentral:rRNA from 1 species
GAUGAGCGCUGGCGGCGUGCCUAAUACAUGCAAGUCGAGCGAACAGACGAGGAGCUUGCUCCUCUGACGUUAGCGGCGGACGGGUGAGUAACACGUGGAUAACCUACCUAUAAGACUGGGAUAACUUCGGGAAACCGGAGCUAAUACCGGAUAAUAUAUUGAACCGCAUGGUUCAAUAGUGAAAGACGGUUUUGCUGUCACUUAUAGAUGGAUCCGCGCCGCAUUAGCUAGUUGGUAAGGUAACGGCUUACCAAGGCGACGAUGCGUAGCCGACCUGAGAGGGUGAUCGGCCCCACUGGAACUGAGACACGGUCCAGACUCCUACGGGAGGCAGCAGUAGGGAAUCGUCCGCAAGGGGCGAAAGCCUGACGGAGCAACGCCGCGUGAGUGAUGAAGGUCUUCGGAUCGUAAAACUCUGUUAUUAGGGAAAAACAAAUGUGUAAGUAACUAGGCACGUCUUGACGGUACCUAAUCAGAAAGCCACGGCUAACUACG